GGAUGAAGAACGCAGCGAAAUGCGAUAAGUAAUGUGAAUUGCAGAAUUCAGUGAAUCAUCGAAUCUUUGAACGCACAUUGCGCCCGCCAGUAUUCUGGCGGGCAUGCCUGUUCGAGCGUCAUUUCAACCAUCAAGCCCCAGGCUUGUGUUGGGGACCUGCGGCUGCCGCAGGCCCUGAAAACCAGUGGCGGGCUCGCUGUCACACCGGGCGUAGUAGAUUUUAUCUCGCUCAGGGCGUGCUGCGGGUUCCGGCCGUUAAAAAGCCUUUUUUACCCAAGGUUGACCUCGGAUCAGGUAGGAAUACCCGCUGAACUUAAGCAUAUCAAUAAGCGGAGGA
rnacentral:misc_RNA from 1 species